GUGUUGUAAUGGUAUUUACUAAUUAAUGACUUUAAAUCAUAAAGAAAGCAUAUUUAGUGUAAUGCUUUGGGGGCACCACUAGAGGGAGUGUGUAGGAAGACAUGUGCUUUUGGCAGUGACAUCACAGGCCAGCCUACUUACACUGAAUAAAACCAGAUGGAGGAGAAAACUCUGUCCCUUUGCCUGUAACUGACUGAACCUAAGAUGUAGUAUCAGC